UUAUGCUAAUAAGAGCGUAUGGUGGAUGCCUUGGCACUAAGAGCCGAUGAAAGACGUGAUAAGCUGCGAAAAGCUUCGGGGAGGAGCAAAUAUCCUAUGAUCCGGAGCUCUCUGAAUGGGGAAACCCACCUGAGCAAACCUCAGGUAUCCUAACGCCAAUACAUAACGUUAGGAGGGGAACCCGGUGAACUGAAACAUCUAAGUAGCCGGAGGAAGAGAAAACAACAUGUGAUUCUGGAAGUAGCGGCGAGCGAAACCGGAAGAGCCCAAACCGGAGUGCGUGCACUCCGGGGUUCGGACCGCAUAAUUGAUCCAAAAGACUUAACAGAACGGCCUGGGAAGGCCGGCCAGAGAGGGUGAAAGCCCCGUAAGUGAAAGGUCGAUUGGCAUGGCGGUAUCCAGAGUAGGUCGAGACACGUGGAACCUUGACUGAAUAUGCGGGGACCACCCCGUAAGGCUAAAUACUCCUUAGUGACCGAUAGCGCAUAGUACUGUGAAGGAAAGGUGAAAAGGACCCCGGGAGGGGAGUGAAAAAGAACCUGAAACCAUAUGUUUACAAGCUGUGGAACCACUUUAAAUGUGGAACCGCGUACUUUUUGUAGAACGGUCCGGCGAGUUACGCUGGCUGGCGAGGUUAAGUCCUUAAGGGAUGGAGCCGAAGGGAAACCAAGUCUGAAUAGGGCGAAGAGUCAGUCGGAGUAGACCCGAAACCGGGUGACCUAUCCAUGUCCAGGAUGAAGUUGCCGUAAAAGGCAAUGGAGGUCCGAACCCACAUCCGUUGAAAAGGGUGGGGAUGAGGUGUGGAUAGGGGAGAAAUUCCAAUCGAACCCGGAGAUAGCUGGUUCUCCUCGAAAUAGCUUUAGGGCUAGCCUCAUACAAGUCUUGCGGAGGUAGAGCACUGAAUUUCCUAGGGGGCGUCAAAGCUUACCGAAGAAUAUCAAACUCCGAAUGCCGCGUAGAUGGUGUAUGGGAGUCAGACUGCACGAGAUAAGUUGGGUAGUCAAAAGGGAAAGAGCCCAGACCUGCAGCUAAGGUCCCAAAAUGUGUGUUAAGUGGAAAAGGAUGUGGGAUUUCGAAGACAACUAGGAUGUUGGCUCAGAAGCAGCCAUACAUUCAAAGAGUGCGUAAUAGCUCACUAGUCGAGAGGUCCUGCGCCGAAAAUGUCCGGGGCUGAAACACACUACCGAAGCUCAGGAAUGUACUUGUACAUUGGUAGAGGAGCAUUGUAUACGGGAAGAAGCAGUACCGAUAAGGAGCUGUGGACUGUAUAGAAGAGAGAAUGCCGGAAUGAGUAGCGAGAGGAAGGUGAGAAUCCUUCCGGCCGAAUAUCUAAGGUUUCCAGAGUAAAGCUGAUCUGCUCUGGGUAAGUCGGGGCCUAAGGCCAGGUCGAAAGACGUAACCGAUGGACAACAGGUUGAAAUUCCUGUACCGCGAUAUAACAGAACUGUGGGGACACGUGUGGAGAGCACAAGCCGGGAAUGGAAAGCCCGGCGCAAGCGAGGUAGGAGUCGUACCGGCAAAUCCGUACGGCAAUCCGAAGACGUGAUGCGUACCGAAAUAAGAGUAGGGAAGAGUGUGAGCCAUGCGUCAAGAAAAGCCGCUAUUGUUUGUAUCGCGCCCGUACCGUAAACCGACACAGGUGGAUGAGGAGAGAAUCCUAAGGCCGACGGGAGAAGCAUUGUUAAGGAACUCGGCAAAAUGACUCCGUAACUUCGGGAGAAGGAGUGCCACUGAGAGGUGGCCGCAGAGAAUUGGCCCAAGCAACUGUUUAGCAAAAACACAGGUCUAUGCAAAACCGAAAGGUGAAGUAUAUGGGCUGACGCCUGCCCGGUGCUGGAAGGUUAAGGGGAGAGGUUAGCGCAAGCGAAGCUUUGAACUUAAGCCCCAGUAAACGGCGGCCGUAACUAUAACGGUCCUAAGGUAGCGAAAUUCCUUGUCGGGUAAGUUCCGACCCGCACGAAAGGCGUAAUGAUUUGGGCACUGUCUCAACAAUGCACCCGGUGAAAUUGAAAUACCAGUGAAGAUGCUGGUUACCUGCGCCAGGACGGAAAGACCCCAUGGAGCUUUACUCCAGCUUGAUACUGGGAUUCGGUAUUGCAUGUACAGGAUAGGUGGGAGGCUAGGAAGUGAUAACGCCAGUUGUCACGGAGCCGCUGUUGGGAUACCACCCUUGCAGUAUUGGAUUUCUAACCAGCGACCAUGAACUGGUCGGGGGACAAUGUCAGGUGGGGAGUUUGACUGGGGCGGUCGCCUCCGAAAGGGUAUCGGAGGCGCUCAAAGGUUCCCUCAGAAUGGACGGAAACCAUUCGAAGAGUGCAAAGGCAGAAGGGAGCUUGACUGCGACACCGACGGGUGGAGCAGGUACGAAAGUAGGACUUAGUGAUCCGGUGGUAUAAAGUGGGAUUGCCAUCGCUCAACGGAUAAAAGCUACCCUGGGGAUAACAGGCUUAUCACUCCCAAGAGUUCACAUCGACGGAGUGGUUUGGCACCUCGAUGUCGGCUCAUCGCAUCCUGGGGCUGAAGUAGGUCCCAAGGGUUGGGCUGUUCGCCCAUUAAAGCGGUACGCGAGCUGGGUUCAGAACGUCGUGAGACAGU
rnacentral:rRNA from 1 species